ACCAAUUCUGAAGGAUAAAUUGUUCCUUUCAGUGUAAUGGCUCGGACGCCAUAUUGAUUCUGUGGUGAUCCUGAUUGAUGGGUUCUUCAAUGCCAUUUGGUCUUGGAAACGCCUCAUACAUUC